GAUUGUAGGCUGCGACCCGCCCUACAUGAAGUUGGAAUUGCUAGUAAUCGCAGAUCAGAAUGCUGCGGUGAAUACGUUCCCGGGCCUUGUACACACCGCCCGUCACACCAUGGGAGCCGGUAAUACCCGAAGUCAGUAGUCUAACCGCAAGGGGGACGCUGCCGAAGGUAGGAUUGGCGACUGGGGUGAAGUCGUAACAAGGUAGC
rnacentral:rRNA from 1 species